GAGUUUGAUCCUGGCUCAGGACGAACGCUGGCGGCGUGCCUAAUACAUGCAAGUCGAGCGCGGGAAGCAGGCAGACCUCCUUCGGGAGAGACGCUUGUGGAACGAGCGGCGGACGGGUGAGUAACACGUAGGCAACCUACCUGUAAGCCUGGGAUAACUCCGGGAAACCGGGGCUAAUACCGGAUAGGCACCGUUUGCGCAUGCGGAUGGUGUGAAAGGCGGGGCAACCUGCCGCUUACAGAUGGGCCUGCGGCGCAUUAGCUAGUUGGUGAGGUAACGGCUCACCAAGGCGACGAUGCGUAGCCGACCUGAGAGGGUGACCGGCCACACUGGGACUGAGACACGGCCCAGACUCCUACGGGAGGCAGCAGUAGGGAAUCUUCCGCAAUGGGCGAAAGCCUGACGGAGCAACGCCGCGUGAGCGAGGAAGGUCUUCGGAUCGUAAAGCUCUGUUGUGAGGGAAGAAAAGCUGCAGGAGUAACUGACUGCAGGUUGACGGUACCUCACGAGGAAGCCCCGGCUAACUACGUGCCAGCAGCCGCGGUAC
rnacentral:rRNA from 1 species